GCUAUUGAGUUUAUAACUAUGAUUUUAUAUACAUAAUAAUUGUAAAAAAAUUAACCUAUCUUUUUUUUGGGUCUAUUAGCUUUUGAAGUCAAGGCUUUGAAGUGUAGAAACAUAUAGAUAUAGACUUUUUUUACUUAAGCUGUUGUGUAACACUGCUUAAGCUUUUGAAGUCAAUAGCAGAAUCCACUUUUGUUGUUCCAACUUAGUUGACACAUGCUUGCUUUGAUUAUUUAUUGGUAAGAGUAGUUAUUCUUGACUAAAAAUUAAUCCAUCCAAAUUUUGAAAAGGAAAAGUAAACUAGUUGGUUUAGAUUGUUAGAAAAAUAAAUUAAAUUUUGACUAAGUAUUUUAUUUAUUUAUUUAUAUAUUGUGUGCUACAAAAGAAUUUCAGGUUUUUAUGAUGGCUGAGUCAGGGGUGAAAAAAUUUAGCCCAAACAUCAAGAAGACUGGAAAAGGUGUGCUCCCUAAAAAUGAAAAAGGUCCAUAUUACUAAUGCUAAAAUAUGGAAUGCAUAGGAUCCAAGUAUCAAGGAACUGGCUGAACAGAUCAGCUUGAGGAGAGAAUGGCACGCAUAAAAGAAGAUCCAUCUUUGAAGCAUAUUUUAAAUGAGAUAGAGACUGGUGGUCCUACUGCUAUGAUGAGGUUUGGAUGGCAAAAUUUCUUAUCUUUUUGACCAUUUCAAAAUUUCUUUCAGUUCAAUGUUUUCCAAAUUUUAAAUAAUUUCUAAAGUGUUUCAGGUUGUUUGUGCAAUUUGUAACACUGAGCAGCCGAUAGGAAAACAACAGUUUCAUUGUGAUGAUUGUAGAAUCUGUAGGGUUGGUGGUCAAGAGAACUAUUUCCACUGCGAAAAGUGUGGGUCAUGAUAUUUACUUACACUACGUAAUAAUCAUUUGUGUGAAGAACUCUAUAGACAUGUGCAUUACUGAAGUUGCUGUUAUUACAAUUAUGUAAGUAUAUGAUAUUGAAAAAUUGAAGUUAUUUUAUUUUAUUUUUUUAAUAAAAAACAAGUAAUAGUUAUGAAGAACAAUAGCAUAUGUAAUUAUGUUUGGAAUUAUUGACAUUGAGAACUUUUAUAUAGAGAGAGUUAUCUUAUAUUGAGAAAUUAU